rfam:Chelonia mydas contig215269, whole genome shotgun sequence.
CCAAAGGCUCUUUUAAGAGCCACCCACUCUCUCCACGGAGGAGCUG